GGAGUUGUGGCUCAGCGGUAGAGUGCCUGCGUAGCAUGCAUGAGGCACUGGGCUCAAUCCACAGUACCA
rnacentral:tRNA from 1 species